rnacentral:piRNA from 1 species
UCCAUCACCAGCACAAUAGCUAAUCUGGAC